AUGCUGAACGAAGUUGAGCUACUCCUGCCAGACGUCAGCUGGAAACCGCUUGGCAGGUCUCUACCCCUCCGCUUUUUCCUGAAGCGCCAAAAUCUCCUGCAAAAGUUGCCGGGAACGUCACCGCUCUGCAGCCGGCCCCGGGGCGCUCCGCUCCACCGCCCCCCGACGGGGCGUCCGGGGGCUCCCGCGCCCGCCAGCGGGGCUGGCCCGGGGUCGCUUCCCACCUCCCUGCCUGCCGGCUCUGCCAGCCGCGCCUUAUUUGCUCCUCUGUUGGCUUGCCAGGUUUUCCCCCUACCCCCUUCACCAUUUCAUUCCCCUCCACCAUUUCACUCCCCUUCGUUUAAAAAAAAAAAAAAAAAGAGCCAAUUAAAGAGGGCGGGCGUGCUGGGGAGAGCCCAGCCUCCUGCCCAAUUCUGCGAGCCUCCCCACGCCUCGCCCCGGCCCAAUUAUAGACAAGACCGCAGGGGUGGGGAGAAAAAAGGACUUGCUUCGGGCGAGAGACCGGUUGUGAGUCCAGGGUAUCCCCAUCCUCAGGACGCUCGCGGCAAGGUUGGCUUCUCCCGGCUGGGACUUGAGAUGCCAAGGGAUGGGGGGCAGCGCAGGUUGCCGGGGUGUCUCCCGCACUGGCGCUCGCUCGUGCCAGCAAAGUUUUUUGGGGCCCCCCAGACCAGAGAAAUGGCAGAUCAUACAACCUGCUGGGAACCUCCACCUUCUCCACUCUUCACAGGCUGGCAGAGGUUGAAGUUUGAUUGAUUUCUCAGUUACAUCUAGUCCUCAGAAGAAAGAGAAAAAGAGCUAAUCAUGCUAGCCUGAUACUAAAGCCAGAGACUUUGAUGGUUGUUGCUAUUGCUGCUUCCAGAAGAGUGAUGUGCUGGGCACACAGGUGAUCUUGUGCUGGGCACACAGGUGAUCUUGUACUGAGCCUUGAAGACGCUGGGAGCAGCCAGCUUUAGCACACACCAUUGCUUGGAACCUCACAAAUGGGGAGGACUAUGAUACGGAUUGUUAGCCUGAGGUAAAGCCAAAUCCAGGGCCUCUGGAGCUAAGAUAGGGCUUGACUUACCGAUUGUUUAGGUGGCACUUUCCUAAAGCUUGAAAAUGUAAUCCCCUCUGUUGCAACCUCCCUCUAGGGGCUCACCAGUCACUUCAGUGUUUUAAGACAUAUCACUUCAUGUCUGAAAUGUUGCACACUCACCCUGUGGGUUUCCAAAGAAGUUUGUCCAUGCAGCUCCCCAGGUGGCAUGGUGAGGGGUGAGAGGCUUCUCCUUUCUAAACCAGCCCCUGCAUCCAAACUUCUCCAGGCAAAUCAGACAAGGGUUUUGAGCAGCAGCAACAGACUUCCCUAUCAGCUAUGUCAGUCAGUAAAAUUAGUGGAAAGUAGCAUAAUUUUUAGAUGGACCAAAUCAUUCAGAUUACAGAGACAGAAGGAACCACUGCUGGUCUGAUCUCCUGUUCUAAUCAAAGUGCAUUGUGAGGAACAACCUCCAGAGCUGAUUUCUGAUAAGCAAGCCAAUAAUAAACCAUUCAUUUCUAUUUCACACAGAGCAGUGCCGUAUUCCAUCAGGAUGCACAAACCAGUAUUCUGGAGGAACAAUACACAUCUGGAAUCAGGUUUACAGCUCUUCAGCAGCCCUCAGAUUUGCAGAUACACCAAUAUCUGACUUGCUGGAAGGUUUCAUGGCAUGUGAUUCUGGCACUGAGGAAUAAAUGCCUCUGAUUUUCCUACUCUUAUUUUUCCUGGUCUUUGGCGUCAGGAAUGAGGGAGACAGAUGCCACCUCUCCAUCCAGCUUCAGGGAGGACUGGGGGAACCAGCAAGAUCCAGGUGAGAAGGAGAAGCUGGUGGGGAGUCAGGCAGCACUGACUCAGGAAUUAAUGGGGUGGGCAGAGAAAGGAAGGGCUGGAAAAUGGCCUGGGGGAGGGAUGAAAGAGGCACACUGGGGCAGCUUGAAGUAUGGGAGGAGAAGAAAGGACUGCUGGAAAGAUGCUGGGAGCAAGUAGACAACUGAAACUUGGGGAAAGCCAGAAUGAAGAAAGCACUGCUUGCUGGGGCAGGGACUGGAGGCCCCUGGUUGGGCUGAUAUGUGGUCCUGGGCCAUGGGUAGGGCGAGGGGAGGCUUGUCAGGGGAAAGACUGGGCAGGGUCCCCAGGAUCUGGCAGCUCUGCCCCUUCUUUCCACCCACUUAGCCCUUAUUUUUCUCCCUCCCACCUUUGUGCACCCCCUCACUUGCCUCACACCCUGCCUUAAUUCCCUUACAGUCCUGCCCUUGGAAUGAAGCCAGUAGAGUUGGAAAGGCUGAAAUAAAGGAGCAGUCAGGGAAGAACAGGGUGAAAAGUGCUCCCCUGUGCCUGAAGAUCCAGUCCAGCUGCCCUGGGUACACCUGGUCUUGGGGAUUACAUGGCAUUGGGUCACUGCAGCUGACAGGGGCUGAGCUCAUCCCUGCUCCAAGCAUCCUGUGUGAGGUGUCUCAUGUUAAAUACUCUUCUGUAUUCCCCAUGUACCUCUGAGUCCCUGAAAACAGCAGACAUACUCAUAAAAGAUGUCUGCGAAAAAUUAUUUUACAGAAACCAAUAGAUGCCUUUCUCUCUGGAAAAUGAGCAUUGGUUAAUCAAGAAAUUACCAAUAAAAAUUUCUCAUAUGAGCACUAUUUCCCCCCCUUGUUUGUGUUGUUAGAGGAUCACAUUUCAUUUUCAAACCGCAGUUCUACAUUUAUCAUCCCUGAUUUAGCAAAUUGCCUCUUGCGGAAGCAAUGUCUAACCUACCUUUAUUUAAGAUUUUGCAGGAUAAUGUGUUUAUGUUGGACUCAGAGAGGCUCACGAAAAAGUGGCAAACAUAUUGCAGUGGAGGUAAUAUAAAUGAUUUUAGAUUCAAAAUAUUCCUUCUCAAGUAACACUUUCAGAAAAUAUUGUAUUGUCAG
rnacentral:lncRNA from 13 species